UAAACGACUCUCGGCAACGGAUAUCUCGGCUCUCGCAUCGAUGAAGAACGUAGCGAAAUGCGAUACUUGGUGUGAAUUGCAGAAUCCCGUGAACCAUCGAGUCUUUGAACGCAAGUUGCGCCCGAAGCCAUUAGGUCGAGGGCACGCCUGCCUGGGCGU
rnacentral:rRNA from 4 species